AUGGGGUUAUAUGGGGUCUUAUGGGGGUCCUAUGGGGUUUAUAUGGGGUUAUAUGGGGUUAUAUGGGGUUAUAUGGGGUUAUAUGGAGUCUUAUGGGGUUAUAUGGGGUUAUAUGGGGUUAUAUGGGGUUAUAUGGGGUUAUAUGGGGUCUUAUGGGGUUAUAUGGGGUUUAUAUGGGGUCUUAUGGGGUUUAUAUGGGGUCAUAUGGGGUUAUAUGGGGUAUAUGGGGUUAUAUGGGGUUAUAUGGGGUUUAUAUGGGGUUAUAUGGGGUUAUAUGGGGUUAUAUGGGGUUAUAUGGGGUUAUAUGGGUUAUAUGGGGUUAUAUGGGGUUAUAUGGGGUUAUAUGGGAUGUUAUAUGGGAUGUUAUAUGGGGUUAUAUGGGGUUAUAUGCGGUUAUAUGGGGUUAUAUGGGGUUUAUAUGGGGUUUAUAUGGGGUUAUAUGGGGUUUAUAUGGGGUUAUAUGGGGUCCUAUGGGGCUUAUAUGGGGUCUUAUGGGGGUCCUAUGGGGUUAUAUGGGGUCUUAUGUGGUUAUAUGGGGUUAUAUGGGGUCUUAUGGGGUCUUAUGGGGUUAUAUGGGGUCCUAUGGGGUUUAUAUGGGGUCCUACGGGGGUCCUAUGGGGUUAUAUGGGGUCUUAUGGGGUUAUAUGGGGUCUUAUGGGGGUCCUAUGGGGUUUAUAUGGGGUCUUAUGGGGGUCCUAUGGGGUUAUAUGGGGUCUUAUGGGGUCUUAUGAGGGUCCUAUGGGGUUAUAUGGGGUCUUAUGGGGGUCCUAUGGGACUUAUAUUGGGUCCUAUGGGGUUUAUAUGGGGUCUUAUGGUGGUCCAUAUGGGUUUAUAUGGGGUCUAUAUGGGGUCCAUAUGGGGCUAUAUGGGGCCAACUGGGGACUACAGGGGUCCCUAUGGGGCUAUAUGGGGCGAUAUGGUUUUACAUGGGGUCCAUAUGGAUCUAUAGGGGUCCAUAUGGGGUCUAUAUGGGGUCCAUAUGGAUCUAUAGGGGUCCAUAUGGGGUCUAUAUGGGGUCUGUAUGGCUAUGAGGUCUAUAUGGGGUCUAUAUGGGGUCUAUAUGGGGUCCAUAUGGAUCUAUAGGGGUCCAUAUGGGGUCUAUAUGAGUCCAUAUGGGGUCUGUAUGGGGUCUGUAUGGGGUCUGUAUGGCUAUGGGGUCUAUAUGGGGUCUAUAUGGGGUCUAUAUGGGUCCAUAUGGGGUCUGUAUGGGGUCUGUAUGGGGUCUGUAUGGCUAUGGGGUCCAUAUGGGGUCCAUAUGGGGUCCAUAUGGGGUCUGUAUGGGGUCUAUAUGGGGUCUGUAUGGGGUCUAUAUGGGGUCCAUAUGGGAUCUAUAUGGGUCCAUAUGGGGUCUAUAUGGGGUCUAUAUGGGGUCUGUAUGGGGUCUGUAUGGCUAUGGGGUCUAUAUGGGGUCUAUAUGGGGUCUAUAUGGGGUCUAUAUGGGGUCUAUAUGGGGUCUGUAUGGGGUCUACAUGGGUCCAUAUGGGGUCUCCCACCCCAUAACCCACCUGCAGAGUGUGAGUGUGAGGUUGAAGGCGCUGAGAUCCCAUUGUUCCAAUAGGGUCAGGCCCAGCAGCAGGGAGGCAGCAGCGUGACAUAGGGUGGCUGUAGGGUUAAGGGAAUAACAGACCCCCCCCCAGGGAGGAUUUGGGGUCCCCCCCCAUUUUGGGGUCCCUAUAACCCCAAUAUCCCCCCAUAUCCCCCCAUAACCCCAAUAUGCCCCCAUA
rnacentral:lncRNA from 1 species